rnacentral:lncRNA from 1 species
GACACUUUUAGGACAUCCUAUCUCUGCUAUUGAGUUGUGAGUGAGUGGGCAGAAGCACAGACAUUAUGUAACUGAACUGUUCCUGCCUCAGAGACAGUAAGAGAGCAUCCACACACACAUGAGAGAGAGAGAGAGAGACAGUGGGAAAUAAAUAAAUUAAAAUCUCACCUGACCUGGUUAGGGUGAGUGAAUAAAGAGAUGAAGCUGAAAGGGGAGACAGUGAUUGUUUGUAACAGUGAUGAGACAGUCAGUGCUUUUCUCUCAUUCUGUGUGUGAGUCAUUGUUUGGCUGAGCAGCAGUGUACUGGAAACCACAGAGAAGGACAACAAGAAAACCUCCAGCAGGUUUCUCUGUUUUGGCUCGGAGGGGAUGGAUUGUUCUACAGCUUUUGCCUCAGGCAGUGUCCUCAGUUUCCAAUGGACUGCUAUCAAGUGACUCUAUUCAUAGCCCUUGCCCUGUCCCAGGCAAGCCAUGUGUCCUCUCAGCAGUAUUACACCGCACAUCUGUUCAGCUGCUUUCUUUCUCCAUUAUCAUUUAGUCAGACUCAUUUAAGAUGCAGUGCUAUCAGAGGAGAUUAUGUUCACCCCUGAGAGGGCAUCUCCCGUUCCUCAAGCCGCUUUCUACACAGCCAUUUUCUGUACAGUAACAAUAUAAUCCAGUGCCCGUUCUUAUAUAACUCCAGCAAAGUACAGAUAUUAAUAAUCCCACUGGGCCUGUGGCACGUUGGCUCUGUGACAUCACCGUCAGCCACAGAGGAGUAUGACUAGAGCACUGUGGGUAAACACGCUUAAGAGCAGGACAUGGAGCACUUUGCUGGAGUUCACAGAGAGCGGGGCUGCCAGUGUGUAGACUAUUCAUAGAUUAUGGGCCAUGGUAUGUACCACUUCUGCACACAGAUGUGUGGAUUAAGACAUAAUUGAUUUGUAGAUUACUGUCUGUGGGUUGAUUUUUGUUGAGUAUGUAAUGUACACUAAAUCUUAGAAGCUUUUAAGUGUAUUUGUAUUGUCUUUGGGUAUUAUGUUUGCAUUUAUUGUUUGCUUAGAUUAUUUGGGAUUAUUGGAUUCAUAACUGUAAAAUAUCAUCUAUUGUUGUGUUUAUAAGAAUGAUUUAUGUUGUGCAUGCAGGGGUCAUAUUAAUGUUCAUGCUUAUGUGAUAUGGCUCAGAGCGUGUGCGUGUGUCUGUGGGUAAACACGCUUAAGAGCAGGACAUGGAGCACUUUGCUGGAGUUCACAGAGAGCGGGGCUGCCAGUGUGUAGACUAUUCAUAGAUUAUGGGC